GCACGCCACAGAGGAAAAGUGAAGUCCUUCCCCAAGGAUGAUUCAUCAAAGCCAUGUAGAUUGACUGCAUUUCUAGGAUACAAGGCUGGGAUGACUCACAUUGUUUGAGAGGUGGAUCCAUCAGGUUCAUACUUUUCAUGGAAAACAUCAUCAAUGGGUGAAAAUGUCUCUAAUGCUAAGACAUUUCUUGAGAA